UGGGGAAUAUUGGACAAUGGGCGCAAGCCUGAUCCAGCAAUGCCGCGUGUGUGAAGAAGGCCUGCGGGUUGUAAAGCACUUUCAGUGGGGAGGAAGGUCUUGGUGCUAAUAACAUCGAGAAUUGACGUUACCUACAGAAGAAGCACCGGCUAACUCUGUGCCAGCAGCCGCGGUAAUACAGAGGGUGCAAGCGUUAAUCGGAAUUACUGGGCGUAAAGGGCGCGUAGGUGGUUUAUUAAGUUAGAUGUGAAAUACCUGGGCUUAACCUGGGAAUUGCAUUUAAAACUAAUUGGCUAGAGUAUGGUAGAGGGAAGUGGAAUUUCCGGUGUAGCGGUGAAAUGCGUAGAUAUCGGAAGGAACACCAGUGGCGAAGGCGACUUCCUGGACCAUUACUGACACUGAGGCGCGAAAGCGUGGGGAGCGAACA
rnacentral:rRNA from 1 species